rnacentral:lncRNA from 13 species
AGAAUUUACUCGGGAGCUGUUCCCAUGUGGUAGCUGUUAUUAAUGGAUUGAUUUUUCAGACAAUAGUACGGCUUCUUGCAGAAACCCAAACUCCAAGAACUUACUGUUUCAGCCAAAAGAAAUCUGUAAAAAAAUGUUUUCUUAAAAAAAAAAUUGUUUAUUUCUUAAAUGUGGAAAAUAGAUUUUUUUUUUUUUUCCUUCAAAGUAAAGCCCAAAAAACACCCUUUGGCUCAACUGUCAAAUCUCUGAAGACUGAAAGUUCAGGAAACCUUCCUUUGGACCCAGCUCCCUUCACUGCUGUCUGCCUUUAAGGGAAGCCACCUCAGGCACAAGGACUUUGUGUAUGGAGGCUAAUGAAGUACAGGAAGCCCUGCUCCCCUGGAGUCUUCAGGGACACAAUACUGUCUUCCCCUGGCAGUCAUACAUCAUGGGACAGCUUCCCAGAAAUCACAAGCAGAUUAAACAUUACAGGAUCUUUUCCCUUGCAAUGGCACAGAUUAAGGGUAACAGCACAAAGAGCAAGUGAAUGCAAAGCCUAUAGGAGAGGUCACAGAGCAUCUUGUGCCAGAUGGUGUUGUAGCUCUCCUGAAAGCUACCAGCUUUGGCUGGCCCCAGACCUCCUCUGGCCCCACACCUGUGGGAAGAGAGGGAGCAAGUACACCCCUGACUUCCUCCUUUGUGUUGAGAUGGCAAAAAACUUCAGGCAGAAACUGCCUCUGGCUGGCUCUGCACAACACCUGCUAAAGUAAGGUCUCAUUUUAGCUGGGGCUCUCAAACAUUACAGUAGUACAAAUAAUUUCAUGUAAUGAUUUCAUUUUGUUUCCAGUCCCAGGCUUUAUCCAGAGACUCACAGUGGAACUAUUAGGCAUGUCUGGAGUUGUUAUGAACCUCUUUUCCCAAAAGUGAUUUAUCUGACUGAAGGUAAUACAGUGUAAUUGUAUGUCAGCCUCUGCCUGUUCUUCUAGGAAAGCUCGGCUCCUGUCCUUCUGGAAACCAUCUCAAGAAUAAAAACAGGAGCUGCUCUUAACCCAGCCACUGUCCCUUCAGGCUGGGCUGGCACUGUACAAAGCAAAAGCCUGCUGCCUGGAUGUAUGUGUUGUGUGGGCUGCAAGGAGCCUCUCUAGCAUGGAACAAGGUGGAGGAAUGGGAGCCAGUGACUGUACAGGGAAUGACAGUGCUCUGAAUUACUCUGUG